UGGGGAAUUUUGGACAAUUGGGCGAAAGCCUGAUCCAGCAAUGCCGCGUGUGUGAAGAAGGCCUUUGGGUUGUAAAGCACUUUUGUCCGGAAAGAAAUCCUUGGCUCUAAUACAGUCGGGGGAUGACGGUACCGGAAGAAUAAGCACCGGCUAACUACGUGCCAGCAGCCGCGGUAAUACGUAGGGUGCAAGCGUUAAUCGGAAUUACUGGGCGUAAAGCGUGCGCAGGCGGUUUGCUAAGACCGAUGUGAAAUCCCCGGGCUCAACCUGGGAACUGCAUUGGUGACUGGCAGGCUAGAGUAUGGCAGAGGGGGGUUAGAAUUCCACGUGUAGCAGUGAAAUGCGUAGAGAUGUGGAGGAAUACCGAUGGCGAAGGCAGCCCCCUGGGCCAAUACUGACGCUCAUGCACGAAAGCGUGGGGAGCAAACAGGAUUAGAUACCCUGGUAGUCCACGCCCCUAAACGAUGUCAACUGUUGCUGGGGAUUCAUUUCCUUAGUAACGUAGCUAACGCGUGAAGUUGACCGCCUGGGGAGUACGGUCGCAAGAUUAAAACUCAAAGGAAUUGACGGGGUCAUAGCUGUUU
rnacentral:rRNA from 1 species